rnacentral:tRNA from 1 species
CGGGGCGUAGCGCAGUCUGGUAGCGCACCACAAUGGGGUUGUGGGGGUCGUGAGUUCAAAUCUCGCCGCCCCGACCA